rnacentral:rRNA from 1 species
AACGAACGCUGGCGGCAUGCCUAACACAUGCAAGUCGAACGAGACCUUCGGGUCUAGUGGCGCACGGGUGCGUAACGCGUGGGAACCUGCCCUUAGGUUCGGAAUAACUCCCCGAAAGGGGUGCUAAUACCGGAUAAUGUCUUCGGACCAAAGAUUUAUCGCCAUUGGAUGGGCCCGCGUUGGAUUAGCUAGUUGGUAGGGUAAAAGCCUACCAAGGCGACGAUCCAUAGCUGGUCUGAGAGGAUGAUCAGCCACACUGGGACUGAGACACGGCCCAGACUCCUACGGGAGGCAGCAGUGGGGAAUAUUGGACAAUGGGCGAAAGCCUGAUCCAGCAAUGCCGCGUGAGUGAUGAAGGCCUUAGGGUUGUAAAGCUCUUUUACCCGGGAUGAUAAUGACAGUACCGGGAGAAUAAGCGCCGGCUAACUCCGUG